rnacentral:lncRNA from 1 species
CAUGGAGCUUUUGGCCUAAAAACUAGAAAUUAAUGAAAAAAAAUAAGUAAUUAAUAAAGAAAAUAUAGAAAAAACAAACACGAAAGUAAACACUCUUGAUAAAAAAGACAAUGAAAAUAUAGUAGCUAGUACAUCAGAAAUAAGAAAACAUACAUAUUAUUAUAAGGAUAAGUUUAAAAGAUAUAACCUAAAGGAUGAAUAUAACAAAUGGACACCAAAACAACUAAUUAAUAAAAAUUAUAAUUUCUUAGACUC